UUAAAUACAUGCUGAGAAUAAUAACUCUAUUCUAGGCUUGACUGUGAUAAUCAAUUAGCCAGUUGGAGAGAAAAGGGCAGUUAUUAUGGGAGUGGAAUAUUAGCAGAAGGAAAGUGAUAAAGGCUGUCAGCUCUAUGAGUUACAGAUGGUGACAUGAAAGUUAGCUCCUGCAGAACUAUAAUCAGGGAACAUAAAAAUGUUUGUAUAUGCCAUGGAAAUAACAUCUCUUUUUCAGUCCAUGCUUUUUAGAGACAGCACAAAAACUAAUGCCAAAGCUAUCUUUUGCAGAUGUUUUAAGAGGUUGAAGAAAGAGUAAUUACUUUGAAGAGGUUUUUUUCCAUAGUCCUUUGCUGACUCUCUUUGUGAGCUCAUUUGGAUGCAUAGCUCUAGUUUCACAGAUGAUGUUGGAUGUAUUAGCUGAAGAAUGCAGCAUUCUGGCAUGCACAGGUUUAAAUCUGCUGGAUUUAAAUAGUUCUUUCAGCACUGGGGGCAUUUUUUUCAGUGGCUGUAGACAGAUGAUGGCAGGAUUUACUUAUACAGAAACUAAGAAAUGGUCCUGAGAUAUCAUAAGACUUUCAUCAUGCAGAUUGAGCUCUUUGCUAGGAAAUAAUGAUUUUCCAAAUUCUUUUAGCCAUUAUGGUAAUCACUGGAUUUCUCUAUGGAAACACUCAACAGCCAAAGCACAGAAGGUUGCUUUCAGUUCCACUAAAGCUGGUUCACAGCACUGAAUCAAGUUUCAAAUUGGACCUAGAGAUAAUCACUAAAAUUAAAAUUUGAAUACAUAAGUAAUGGGUAGAGCAUAACAAAUAAACACCACAGAAACCCAGGUGAUGCAAUAAAAUGUCUGCUCUUGAUGUAGCAGUCUUGGUUCUGCAGUUCUUUCCAUGCUGGUUUAUAUCAUCCAACACAUGGGAAAUCAGGUGCUUCCUGACAAUUGAAGAUCAUCAACACUUUCAAAACAAACACAUGAGUUUCUGUAGAUUCAUGCUACCAAAAUAUUAGGGCUCUUGAUUUAUGGAAAUAGAUUUUGAUCUAACUUCAGACAGGGAGGCACUUCAAUGUGUCUUUUUAGCUCAAAAGGGUCAAAUCCUUAGUUUAUAUCAGAUCAGAAAGAAAUCAGGAUAACAAAGAAAAGAUACAAGGUAGCCAUUAAUCUCAUCUAAAUUUGGUUGUCUGUAGUGGGAAAUACCUAUAUCUGAGGUAAUAACCUCCUUGAGCUCCUUUUAUCAUAAAUGAAGACGAAAUAGGUAACUUUGGUACUCUAAACAAUUAGCUGAGAUGUCAAUGCUUACAGUGUAAAUGUUUACAAUUAUUUAGGUGAAUUCUACUCUGAAUUGCUUUAACAUGUGACAGUAAGUGAUGAUGUAAUGCCCCUAAGUCUGAGUUGAUUUCUGUGGCUUCAAAUCAGCAAUCUGCUUAACAGUAUCCUAAUUUUAAGCAGAUAAAUAGUCUUAUUGAAGUCAGUGGUUAUUCACAUAGCAAAGGUACAUUCCAAUGCUUUGCCAAUGUGAAUAAUGUGACACAUAUGUUUUUCUUGCAAUAACUCUACUACAUCACUGCAGUGAUUUCUCUGCACAGUGGAAUGAAUGUUUUCAGAAAGCUCUCUUAAAUGUUUAGGAUUUUGGCAUUUUUGUAGCAGAUGCUGGUAAAUUACCAAGAUUCAUAUUCUUUCCUGUUUCAUAAUAAUAUUAAAAUCCAAUAAAAUAUAACUCAAUGUUUUGACUACUGCAUUAAUUAAACACUAAUGCUGGUUCCAUCCCUUAGAGUUCAAAUAUAAUUAUAGACAUGCUAAAUUUUUCCCAUUCUUCAUAUAAAAAAAGAUGAGACCAAAUAGCAAUAUGUCACCAAAGCAGUAAAGGUCUUUUUAACUAUGUGACAGACACUUCAACACAUUCACCAACUAUCUAUGUCAUUUCUAAUCCUUGAAUGCAUAGAUGGCCCUAAGAAGUUAUGAGUGUACCUACAUUUUUCAAUUGUUUUGUAACUUUGAUUUCAUGGAAUGAGUGUAGUUUAAACUGUAAAUGCUUUACCUGGAUUAAACUCUCAUCUCAGCUGCGAGAGGAGGGCUCGGUUAUAGAAAACUGCAGCCUUAAAUUGGAAAUUGUGAAGAAGGAAAUCUUGCCACUGAGGUGUUUGAUGCUCUGUUUUGACCUCAGUGGGCAGCUGACCAGAAUAUGAAAUUCUGGGCUCAGCAGCAGCCCUGGCCCCUUGGGCCAUGAUGGGGGAGAGCUGCCAAGAAGAGGGCAUCCCAUCUCCACUGCUGCAAUGGAGGGGCAAACUGUUCAGCUGGGUGAAAAUUAAACAUGUGCCUUAGGUUUCUCAUUAACUCCCAACGUAGCCUGUGGUGGGCUAAAAGCUUGGCCUUUUCUCCACCAGGUAAAGAACAAUGUUUUGCUUGUAGUUAACUUCCAUAUCAGUCAGCUACUCAGUCCAUUGAGAUCUUCCCAAACAGGCCUCCCUGUAAACUAUUUUUAUACCAAGAUAUCCUGUAGCAGUCUUUACAAAAAUAAAUGAACUAGUGACAUUAAGCUGAAAGGUAAGCAAAGGUGUUGAGUGUUAAACAUAUUAAGAGCAGGGGAAAAAUCUGUUAAUCAUUUUAUUAAUGUUUUCUUUUCUGCCGAAAUCCUUGAAAAUGCUUGUAAUUCUUUGCAGCUGACAGGCUGCUGAUUUUGCAGAAAGAAGAGGUUUUUGAGUUCCUUAACUGUAAGUCACAGUUGUUCCUUGUUUUGACUGUUGGAGAAUUAGUUCAAUAACCUCCCAAAUAGUAAGUGCCUGUGUUCUUAGAGCUUAAGUAUAAGAAGGUCUGCAUCUGAGAAUAAUUAUAGUUAAGCAAACACUACAUUGAAACACAAGCUUAAUGAGUUGCACUGAAACAGUGUAAGGGACUGUCAAAGUCAUUUUGCUGCUGUAUGGAUUUUUACAACACUGUUACCUCACUUAUUUGAAGGAUUCCCCUCUUUCAUACUCACUAAGUGACAUUCAAGCAUUCCCAGGUUUGUGGGAAGUGGCAGCAGGGAUGAGGCUUUGAGUCUGUGAUCUAUUCUGUCCUUUUACUGUGCCCAUGGCAAAAUCCAUGAGGCCAGUCCCAAGGUGUGCACUCUGUCUAGCACUGGUGCUCUCUUGAGGACUGUCGUCAUGGCUGACAACUUUUCCAAACUCUAAUGAGGAAGCUCCUGCUAGCCUUCAGUUGUGCCAGGGAGAUUUAGAUUGGAAAUCAGGAAAAAUUUCUUCACCAAAACAGCUGUCAAGCAUUGAAACAGUCUGCCUGAGGAAGUGGUUGGUCACCAUCCCUGAGGUAUUUAAAAGACCUCUAGAUGUGGCACUUAUGGACGUGGUUUAGUGGUGGACCUGGCAGUGCUGGGUUAAUGGUAGGUCUUAAUGAUUUUAGAGGUAUUUUCCAAUCUAAAUUAUUCUAUAUUUAUAUCAUUCUAUGACUUUUAGUCUUCCUCUGAUGCACGUCUCCAAGCAGACUGGAUAUUCCCUAUUUUGAGAGGAUAGGCCCCACAGGCCCGAGUCCACCAAGACACCUCCUGCAAGAUGUGCUGCAGAGCAGCAGCUUUCUCAGCCGAGCAGCUUUCUCAGCGAGGCCAGUUUCUGUGUCCUUGCUCACCUCUCAGAGCAUGUGGGUCACCAGGCAGACCAGAAAUGGAAACUGGGCAACAAUCCCUCUGCAGCAAGGAAUAGAAAGUUUCCCAGGGACACGAUUCCUACCAAAUCCCUGAGGCUUUUUUGACUUUCCUAAGCAGUGUGCUGAAUCACCUGAUGUUCCUGGGCUUGUCAGCUGCCCCAGAUCUGAGUAGCAGUUGGUUUUGUGACCUGCAGGCAAAAAAAGCCAUUUGCCAUUUUGCAUGGUCAUACUGGUCUCCACCACUGAGCCUUCUUCCCUUUCUCUCGAGCUUUUAUCCUCUUCUUUCCCUUCACCUUCCAAAGCAGUGAAAGGUGUAGCGACAGCUCAAAAGUGAAUAAGGGAAUGUAUCUUUCCCUUCCCACCAAGAGCUAUUGCUUGGUAGACCUGGCAGUGUUAGGCUAAUGGUUGGAUACAAUGAUCUCAGCAUAGUUUUCCAACCUUCACGAUACAAUGAUUCUAUAGGAACAAGAAAUUGCAUCUAAAUUCUCACAGUAAAAAUUAAUUUGAUAAAUUGAUGUAAUAUUUUGGAUACUUUUGGUCUUGUUUUGAUUUUCUUCACAAUUUUAUCAUACCAAAUGCAUAUUUAAAUUUUGCUGUGUGUGCUUUUGUGAAGUGAUAGGCAGACUGAGAUUCCCAUACAAAAAAACCUAUGGCAUUUUUCAUUGUCUAAUGUUUGAUGCUGACGGAAUCACUCAGGCAGCCUCUUUUUUUUUUUUUUUUUGAGCAACUCCUUCCAGAGACACUGACAGAACAGAACAGAGUCCAGGGUUUCAGGUUACAGAAAUCUGGAAUAGCUGUAUCACACAAAGAGCAUUCGUAGACUUCCUAUGCUGUUUGAAAAGCAGAGGCCCUUAAUGUAUUAUACUUGAAUGAAUAAAGUUAGAUAAGCCUUAUCCUUCCCGAUAUAAAAUAAGCAAGCAAAAAAAAAAAAAAAAGUCAAAAUAAAAAAAUAUUUUUUAUAAAAUCAUCCUUAUUGUGCAGUGUGAGCAUGUUUUCAUGUUUAUCUGAGGACAAUGUUAAACUUGGAUAAUGAACUGUAUUAAAACCUUUUAAAGGCAAGAUAACAAUAUAAGGUCAGGUAGUGAAAAAAUCAAAGAAUUUAGUUUUAUUUUCUCCUCUAAUUUUUAUGAACCAAGUACAAAAGUUAACCUUUCAAAUAUACUGUGGUCUAUAGUACAUAUUUUUUUGCUCCGUCCUCAUUCUUACAAUCUGAACAUUUUGUUAUUCUGUGAGUCAGCUGUGAAUAGCUGCAAUAUCAGAGACUGUGGUCUGGACCUGAUGAAAUAAAUGAUGAAAUGAAUUAUGAGAUUGAAACAGACUUGCACCAUCUUUUUUUCAGCUGCUUUUUAAACUUUUCUAAUGUAAAUUCCUUUUAUUACAUCUGAAUCAAACAUCAUUAUGUAUUAUGCAGUCUCAGAUAAAACAUACACCUUAUACCAGAAAAGCAGUGUUUAAAAAAAUAUUUUUUUUUGCUACUUAAAGUAUAAUUACCUUGUCAGUCUUAAAUAGCUCAUUCACUACAAUCUCUUCUACACUCCCAAUUUUCAGGGAAAUUACUGGGUUAAUUCAGGUCAAUGCCUUUAAAUUAAAUCUAAGAGCAACAGGAGCAGAGAAGAAGUAAACAGGAAUUAAGUACAAAGCAGACAGUUACAGCAACAUAUAGGAAUUAUGUAGGGUUUGCCAGAAAUACCAAUCUCAUGUGGAGACAGGAAGAAUUACUGCAGGGUACAUAUCCUCACAGGGAGAGAAAUGGAAUAGAGUUCCUAUUUCCAACAAAGAAGACUGGAAGACUGAACACUGCAAGAAAAAAAAAAAAAAAAAAAAACCUAUUUAAACCCAGGAUUGAACAAAGACAUGAUCAAAGCUGCCAGCAGCCCUGAGAUAGUGACCGCACAGUUUUAGGACCAGUCCUAUACCUGUUUUAAACACAACUGCCUUGUUUCCCACACAAUCUCCCCAUGCCCUGUGGAAUUCAUGUCUGUUUUCAUGUCUAUUGGGCAUGGGCAAAAGCCAAACUGCUUCAGUUUAUGUUGGCAUCUCUCCACUUUGCAAUGAGAAUGCAAAAUCAAUAAUCUUCUUAUAGUCUUUCUGUACUUCACUGGACUUUCACAGCUGACAUCUUUUGCAACGGUAUUAUAGACUGAGAAGUAUUUAGAAAUUUUAGUUUCCUGGUUGUAGGAGAAAGAAGUGAAAGUGGGUUUUCCCUGUGGAAAGCCUCAUGCACAGGAUGCUUAAACUUGACACAAAACCAAAACAAAAGUGUGGAUGUUAGUGGUAUAAAAGACAUGCGCUGGGAGAUGAGCCCAGCUUAGAAAGAAUCAUUCCUUUUCAGAGCAGACAGACCAGGCUCAGUUUCUGCUUAGUGGAUAUCUCUCUAGACAUGGCAUUAGUGACAUUGAGAAAGCAAACACACCAAAAUUAUCGCUAAAUUAAUUAAUAUGCAGUUAGAACAUUCUUAAUUUCAGCAGUGUUACCUGACUGGUGCAGGAUAUUUUGGAGCUAGAGAUUGCCUGUCUGUAUUUAGUUAUACAAAGUUCAGAGUGAGAUAUGCAAUGUAUAAUCUAGUCCUUCUAAAACUUAAGCAGUAUAUAAUGAUGGCUGAAAACAACAUUCAAUCAGUCCAGAGAGAGCUAUGCCUUUUUUAUAAGUCCUGCAAAACCAUUGGGAGUGCUUUGUUUCUCAAAUAUAGACUGAAUUUUAAAUUUAGAAAACAAUCCCUGUCAUAUUAAUAUUUUUUAAUAUGUUUCCAGUGAAUUCAGGCAGCUUUGAGUAAAGCUUCUGAGACGAGGUGUUGGCUGUCCUGUUAAACCUGAAGAAAUUUGUGAAACAGAUGAAAGAAUCAGAAAAAGAGAUGCAGUCUCUUGAAAUGGAAGGGAAUAGAAGUACCUCUCUAGUAUCAAGUAUGAUGUGAACUGAACCUAAACAUAAGGGGCAACCACAUCUGUUUUGGAUAGUGGGCUUUAAAUGACCCAGGUAUGAAGUUUAUAAGUGCCACCUUACUGACUUAGUUUUUUGCCUGCCUUCUGUUUACAGAGAUUCCUUAUAACUUCACCAACAGUUGGAUGUAGACUUAUUAAACAGUCUUGGUCGUGUAUUCUUACUCAGAGACAGAAUGCAAACACUAGAUGGUUCCUGCAAGAUUUGGGAUGGGGAGACUACAAUAAGUUUUAUCUUUCCCCAGUUUUCUCUUAUCUAGGCUGAAUAUAUUUGCUAUAUUUUCUCAAAUACGUUUCAAUCUAAGUAUCUUUUUUAUCUGUCUUCAGCUGGUUUUGACUCUAUCCAGUUGGGUACCUUGUUUUAUAGCAGUGUAGUCAAAACUGGAUUCAAGCUGAGGCCUUAUGUGUGCAGGAUAAAAAAUAACUACCUCCUCUGUGUUAAGCCUGUUGCUUGUUAACAGCAUCACAUUUUUCACCUGGACUUAGUUUGUGAUCCACUCUAACCUCCCUGCCUCAACCUUUUCUUUUUUCUAGCAUGUUGCCUAGGUAGUUAUUCCUGAUUUUCUGUUUGUGUGUUCAAUUUCCUCUCUCAACUGUUGCCUUUUUUUUAAAUUUCAAUUUCACCAUGUUGCUUUUGGAUUAUUUCUCCAAUUUGUCAGGAUCAGCUUGAGCAGCAACCACAGCUUCCCAUGUGCUUCUAAGCUCUGUGUGACUUACAAAUGGCACGAGUCUCUGUACUGUCAUUCAUGUAUUUAACGAAAGUAAGGAAUAGAAGAAGGUGCUGCAGAAAUGUGUUGCCAAUUUGUGAGAGAAAUGUUGACAACUUCUCUUUGAGUAUUUUUUUUCAAUCACUUGUGCAUUUAUCAUAGAGUCAUUUGUUCAAGAAAGUAUUUCCUUCUUUGGCUGAGGAGAAUAUCAUGCAACACCACGUCAAAAAAACUGACCAGACCAACUGGAAGAGAUUACUACUUUCAGGAUAUCCAGCAGCCUCUUCCAAAGGGAAAGCAGUUCAGUGGGCUGCACUGUACUGAGAAUGGUCUUGUGAACUUCAGGGAGACCAGGACCUUGGCAUGUUUUGCCAAAGCCUCGAGCAAACUGUAAUGCAAGAAUCAUGAGUAAGGAACUUCUGCAAUUGCCCAGAGAAGUGUGGCUGUGAGAGUGUUUAAAGGGAAAGCAGACCAAGAAACAAAGCCACUGUGUAAAAUAAAUGUUUCUUGAUAUUUAGUCCUGUCAUUCCCUGUCCAAGAGCCAAAGGAAAGGUGAAUUCAGUGAGAGGAAGUGUCAAAAAGUGCAUCUGAUGAAGAAGACCUGCCUUCUGUAAAAUAUGACAUGAUUCUGUGGAAACUGCUGCCACAGUUUACAGUGACCAUGGCUGUUGUGGGCUAUCUGACUCACACCUGUCAAGAGUUGCUGGGACUUGUCAAGUGGCACUGGCUGCACCCUCUGCAAGGCUUCUGUGCAUGGAAGGUGAGCUGUGGUCAGUCUCCUGUUUUGUUUUCACCUCAGUAGUGAACCAAGAUCGGUCACACUGACCCACUGCCAGUAUUCCCUAAUUCUCCUUAACGAGGACAACCUCCUUGCUAAAUCUGAUCCUGGAAAGCCACAUAAUUUGUGAGUAUGAGAAAGAUUAGAUUAGUAUUUCAGAACUGUUAUUAGUGACCUAAAAUACAAACAAAUAUGGUUUCUCACCACAGAUGCUAUGAAUGGUCUGUGUGUUUUUAAAGCCUGCAUUUUAAAACACCUUAAUACUAAGUGAAAUGAAAACUUCCUUAUAAAGCAAAGAGUUGAAAGACAAAAGCUCAAAACAAGUAAUACAAGUAAUUUUUGUUAGCACACUUCAUUAUGUAAAUAAACAGAGAAAUACAGAUAUGAUUUUUUGUCUCAUUAAUAUUAACCACUGCUUGUUGGAAAGCAAUUAUUCAAUUCUAUUUUCUAAUACAUUUCCAGAUUUUAUCAUUCUCUUUCUCUUUCACAAAUCAAGAAGCAAAAUUGCUUGUAAUUACAUGUGAUAAACAUGAUAGAGAAAUCAUUCAACAUACCGAAAAAACACACCAAAGAUGAGAGAAAAAGCUAUAUUCUGAAAUAAAAACUUUCUGGUUUUUACCCUUCUAAAGCUGAUAGGUGAAAUACUUGACCAGUUCCUUUUAAACCAAAAUGUAAAUGCUGAUUUCCUUCACCAGGGCACUGUGCCUGAAACAAUUGUCUUGCUCGUUCUUUUGGGUGCAGAAAAGGAGAAUCUUUUCUGAAGCAUGUUUAUAAAAAAUAGCAUGUCCUCGACACCAACAAAAGCAGAACAGCUCUGUUGCUACAGCUGAGCUUGGAAAAGUCCUGGAAGAACCCUGUGGAGCUUGGGAUUCCUUAAUCAGAACAGAGCUGCAGCCCUUUGAAGGCCCUGCUCGUAUUUGUGAUGACGGUGGUGGAGUCCCACUCCCUCUGGGCACACACAUACACUCUCCCCUGUGGACAGAAAGAAUAAAGAUGGAAUUUAAUGUUCUUUGAUACGACACAUACCUUUGCAGUGGUGCUUAUUCACACUUACAGAGAGUAUCUUCACUUCUCUGUGGCUAGUCAUGUUCCUAGAGAACUGCCACAAGUACAUUGCAGAAGCUGGUAGGGAAGAAAUCAUAUCCAUAAAUCUGUGCUAUCUUAUUAUGGGAAUUUUUGACCAAAAAGUGCAUCAUAAAGAGAAGGCAUGAGAGGUCAGUAAUAAAAGAAAAAGUGGCUUUCCAAGUUUAUUGUCAUUACUCCAGUGGAUGAGUGUGGGUGCAUUAAGUUCUCAGCUUUUGACACCAUUGAUGUCAGCCCUCGGGAUCUGGGCAAGGCCACUGCUGAGGGUGCUUGAAAAAUCCCACCUACGAGUCAAACAAACUACAUGAGUCUAGUGACCUGUGUUUGAACCCACUUGCCUUUUUAAAAUAAACCCCUGUACAAAUCCCAGAAGAAGCAUGUGGUUAGUUCACAUCAUGGACUAAUAAUCGCUUACAUCAUCCUAUUUUUAAAAUUAGUCCUUUUUUGGAUUAUGGGAAUGUCAGAAAUCAUGUUGGAAAAUUCCAAAGUCUACCAAUCCCAUCUUAAAAGUGUCCAAUCCUUUUUCUUUUUUUUAACCUAU